rnacentral:misc_RNA from 1 species
AAGAAAAAAAAAAGAAAAUGAGAAAAAGCAUCUGUAAGUAGGGAAGGAGAAAAUCUAUAAAAAAAGAAAAGUUAUUGAAAGAAGGGAAUCAGCUUAAAUUAAGGCUGCUGCAAUAAUAUGCAGUUUCGCAACAUGUCAUUCACAGUUGACUACUCCAACAAGAUUUUGUAGGCUUUCAUCGCAUCCAUCCCUAUAUUGAAAGCUUUAUUCAACAUAAUCCCUUUCAUAUGUUCAUUUACAUUACAUCCCAAUUUAGAGUUUGCAAGACACACUCUCUGGUUUAUGCAUGCAUGACAUAGGCCAUUUAAUAUUUUUCUUACAUCUAUCUGCAUUGUACCACUCACAACUUACAUGCUUAAUUUUGUACAUGCAUAUGGCUUAGAAAAAGUCUAGUGUAAAAGCUUUCCAAGGUAAUGUGAAAUGAACUAAAGCUCCAUUUGAUCAUCAUUUGGACAGCUAUAUGAGACCAGGCCCUUUCCCUAUGUCAUAAGAUUGGCUUGUACCUUGUAAUGACUUAGAUGAUUGACUUAAAAACACUAAUGCAAAAAUAUUUGUGAGAAGAGUUUGCUUGAAACUAUGCAAAUUGAAGUACGACUAAGCGAAAAACAGCCUAAGAAGUUAUCACAUAAAUAAAGGCCGCCAUUUGUGUGAUAGACUUGACUGUCAGCAAUUUGCAAAACAAUUUCCAAGUUCUCACAACCCUCCGACCAGUGACGAAGGCAGGAACUCAUUUGAGAGGGAUCCAAUUAAAAUAUGUAAUUUAUA